GGUCCUUGUUCUUUGCACAGGGGUUUUAGUCAGGCAACGAGCGAGACCCCCACUCCUAAUUGCCAGCACCACUUUCGGGUGGAUGGGUACAUUAGGAGGACUGCCGCUGCCAAAGCGGAGGAAGGAACGGGCAACGGUAGGUCAGUAUGCCCCGAAUGUGCUGGGCUACACGCGGGCUACAAUGGUCGAGACAAUGGGUUCCCACCUCGAAAGAGGACGGUAAUCUCCGAAACUCGAUCGUAGUUCGGAUUGAGGGUUGAAACUCG
rnacentral:rRNA from 1 species